UGGACCAGUGGUAAGAAUGUAUCAGGAUUAUCAAGUUUUAUUUAUCUGAGGUCCAUA
rnacentral:snoRNA from 1 species